GUGGGGAAUAUUGGACAAUGGGGGGAACCCUGAUCCAGCCAUGCCGCGUGUGUGAAGAAGGCCUUUUGGUUGUAAAGCACUUUAAGCGAGGAGGAGGCUACCGAGAUUAAUACUCUUGGAUAGUGGACGUUACUCGCAGAAUAAGCACCGGCUAACUCUGUGCCAGCAGCCGCGGUAAUACAGAGGGUGCAAGCGUUAAUCGGAUUUACUGGGCGUAAAGCGCGCGUAGGUGGCCAAUUAAGUCAAAUGUGAAAUCCCCGAGCUUAACUUGGGAAUUGCAUUCGAUACUGGUUGGCUAGAGGAUGGGAGAGGAUGGUAGAAUUCCAGGUGUAGCGGUGAAAUGCGUAGAGAUCUGGAGGAAUACCGAUGGCGAAGGCAGCCAUCUGGCCUAAUACUGACACUGAGGUGCGAAAGCAUGGGGAGCAAACAGGAUUAGAAACCCUUGUAGUCC
rnacentral:rRNA from 1 species